rnacentral:lncRNA from 1 species
AAUCCACGUGAGGCCUCUGGAUCAACCGGCAUUCUGAAAAGUGCUAGCUAGCAGGGAUGCAGCAGGUGGCUGAGAGAGAGAGGGAGAGAACUAGGAGGAAGAGGACUAGCUACCCUUUCCUUCAAUCUUUUCUUUUUCCUUUCUUUUUCUUACAACAUGAACUCUCAAAGCUCACUUCACUCUUUCCCAACCGGUGUCAAAACACCAAAUACUCUAA